rnacentral:lncRNA from 1 species
AGAAAGCUAACACUUAGUUCUCCUCUUUAACCCCUUCGAAGCAUGAGUGAAAUAUAAAGGUGUGUGUUCCAAUAAACUUUAUCCUCUUGAUUGAUGUAAUAAUAAUAAUAAUAAUAAUAAUAAUAAUAAUAAUAUUUGAUGUACGGAGAUUAAGUAACUUACCAAAAGAGUACCACGUGUCGUUGCACAGUUGGGGCUCUAUUUAUGGGCCGGGCCGCAAGAUAGAUAAAGCCAGCGAGGCAUUCCGAUCUGUACCCCACUCGUCGUGAAAGACGAGCGAAAACCAUGGCGGCGAUCGCGCACUCCAUCGGUGGCCCCGAGAGCGCACAAGCGCGAUCAGCGCUGACAGAGGACGGUGGCGCCGGUCGGGAGCCACGUCUUCCGUGGUGGUCAGGAUCUUAAGCAAGCCGUCACCGCCGCCGCUGCCGAGGACCUCAACAGAAGUUUGUCGACGCCGCAGACUCUUCUUUCCAGACCAUGGUUGAUUGAAGGUGUGAUUUCUGCCUCGACAAUCGUUUGACAUCUCUAAUUUAAUCUCUGCAAAACAAGGAUUCAAAUGGGUUAUAAGAAUUGGGGUACCACUGUGUUGAAUUUGAAUUUUAGGUUUAUCGAGUUGAUUGUCCCGAGGAUGGGACGUCAGGAUUCUUAGCUAUCUUAGAUGAUAAGCGCAUUUGAUUGCUAGAGACUGAUAGGUAUACUAUUAAUUUAGGCCUAACUCUUUUGUCGUCGCAUGGAAUGAAUGUGUCGUGAAGUUUUUCUGGUUCAAAAGCAAGUGUUUUUUGUCUCAUUCUAUUUGUAUUUCGUGUUCCUCAUCAUGAUAUUGCUGUUGAGAACAUAGAGUUGCAUGUCUGUAUGUUGAUGGAAUGGAGAACAAUCUGUAUGAAGUUUUUCUGGUUCAAAAGUAAGUUUUUUUAUCUCAUUCUAUUUGUAUUUGGUGUUCCUCAUUAUGAUAUUACUGUUGAGAACAUAGAGUUGCAUGUCUGUAUGCUGAUGGAAUGGAGAACAAUCUGUAUGAAGCUUUUUCUGGUUCAAAAGUAAGCUUUUUUAUCUCAUUCUAUUUGUAUUUGGCGUUCCUCAUUAUGAUAUUACUGUUGAGAACAUAAGAGUUGCAUGUCUGUAUGUUGAUGGAAUGGAGAACAAUCUGUAUGAAGCUUUUCUGGUUCAAAAGUAAGCUUUUUUUCCUCAUUCUAUUUGUAUUUGGUGUUCCUCAUUAUGAUAUUACUGUUGAGAACAUAGAGUUGCAUGUCUGUUUGUUGAUUGAAUGGAGAACAAUCUGUACCUAUCUCUCUUUCUACUUCCAUUUGUCUUUACAUUUACAGAGAAUAUCAAUCCGAUCUUACUUUGACUAGUUUGACUUAGAGUUGAAUGCUUAAAAGAAAAUAUAAUUCUUCCAAUAGAUGCCUCUUAAAAGUAGCUUGCAUUGGUUUGGUAUUGUUUGUAUUUCAGCAAGAGCCAAUUUGUAGCUCCUCAUGAAAUCUGAGAUAAGUGCCACUGAUAUAUAAAGUGGAUGAUUGUUUACAUCAAACUUAAUGGCACAAGAAAUGUUCUACAACUAUCGAAUAAAACUUUGUGAUGUGAAAGCUGUACAAAAUUUCUUUUUGAAUUUGAAGUCUCCCUCCACCAUCUUUUUCAUGCUUUAGGUUAUAGCUGAGCAUUAUUCUUGUAGUGAUGACACCAUUUUGUCAUGCUCAUGAUAAUAUUCAUCUUAUUAAGUUGAGGUUUGGCUGCAUGCACUAUCUACUCUGUUUGCUUGUUCUGUAUUGAUAAUUUGUGUUUCCUGUUUACAUGUAUUAAACUCUAUUAUCAUCUUUCACAAUUGUCACUGGAGAUAACUUUCAUAAUUGAAGUAAUAUAUGACCCAAAACUGUUGGUGCUGAGAUGAGUAGAUAAACAUGGCAAGUUUAUGGUGGCAACCAUGAGGACCAUUACCUUACCUAGCAGAAGUUAGAAGAAUCUACUGGAUCCUUCAACUUUGCACAAUGAUUAAAUAUGAUUACCUCACUCCUACCUGAAUGUGCCCACAUUUGUGUCUGCAGGCACUUUUGGAGUCAUUUCUCUGGUAUUCAUAUGCUUCUCUCUCAAUGUUAUCAGUCAGAAGUUUUUCAGGGAAAAGUUUACCUAAUGGAUCUAUCUUUUUGCCUGACAAAGAUCUGAACAUUUAUCAUUUUAUGUACAAAUUACAGCAACUGCAAAGAAACCUAGCUUGUUCAUUGCAGCUUUUCUUUUCACUCCCACCAAACAUAUUGAUAUGCCUGUCCUCAUGCAUUACUGGUCCCAACAUGCCAAAGUUUCAAUGCCUCCCCUUUCAUCAACUCAGAAAGGAAGCCACCAUGCAUGCAUCCUCAAACUAGCAAAACUGCACUCACUGACAACAUAACAAGCUUUCCUCGUGAAGUGAUUGUAAGGCUACCAGAAUGAGAGAUUCAACAUCAAAACCUCGGAGAACAUCUGAGGGAAACCCAGGUAGGUGAAGGCCACUGGAUGGGGGAACAUGAUAGAGAGAGAUUGAUUUGCCUGAUAAAGCCUAUCACACAUGUGGAGUGAGAGCAUGGAUCAACACUUGCAGAUACUUAGGGGAAUGCCAAUUUGGAUUGUGCUAUUUCUACUCAGGAAAAGAACUCGUUCAAAUUGUUCAAACUCUGAUGUCAAGUCUUUUGUAAGUAAUUCAUUGCCAUUAACUCUCAUCCUUUUUAUUUUCUUGUGUGGCAGCAGCAGCAGCAGCCUGCAUCAUUGUUCUGGCGUUCGAUCAGAAGAAGAGAAGCUCUGUUCUUGUGCUUCUGCAGUCACAAAAGCUGCACCGGAGCUGGUUAUCUUCUUGGCCAGUGGAGUUCAUGAGACGAGUACGCCGACACCCUCGACGGUGGAGGAGAAAGACGGUGGGUGGCGUCCCCGAGGAAGCAGUACGUCUCUUCCUCCUCCUCUGCUUACAUGCUGCAUGAGCCGCGCCGUGCGGGUUUCAAUCACCUACGUCACCCGCAAGGCAGGUAAGCAUUUCACAUCAAACAUCCUUUCCCUGUCAACUGAUCCAAACUCCAACAAGCAUCACGGCAAUUAGUCAUUUAUAAACCUGUGAUCUCCCCCAAAUCCAUGCGUGCCCGGCGAAUAAGCCGCUGUCCCUCUCUGUUCAGCCACCGCAUUAUUAUAUGGACCACUUUGGACACGCCCGCACACAAGUCUUACGUCCUCAUCGUCACAGUCACAGGUCUCAAUUAUUUAUAGGAAGAGAACAAAGUCGCUGCCAUGAAAUAAUGAACAUGUUUGUUCUCGCUCAGCAUGGUGGGCUCAACAGAGGCACAGAGAGAGAGAGAGAGAGAGAAGAAAUAAGGAGCAUUGCUAAUGUCUCUAACAGCUACGAUAAAGAGAAUAAUUACUUGGAAGAACAGCUAUAAUUAAUUUCCGCUUCAUAGGAUGGUUAUACACCCUUAAUUAUUGUUAUGCUGCUGAUUUGUACCUCCUAAUUAGUUUGCGUUGGCCUUUCCUUCAGGCUUGGAGGCGUCGGAAAAAGAGGCUCGAAUCACGGAGGUCCUCCUCCUCCUCUUGAUCGAGCUGAUGCCGUCGUCUGCCGAGGCUUUCUUCUUCGCCUUGGCUCUCCCCUUCCCCUUCUUCCUCCUCUUCGCCGCCUCCCUGGUCGACGUCCUCGUCCUCGUCGUCAUUGUU